UACGUAGGGUGCAAGCGUUGUCCGGAAUUAUUGGGCGUAAAGAGCUCGUAGGCGGUUUGUCGCGUCUGCUGUGAAAACUCGGGGCUUAACUCCGGGCCUGCAGUGGGUACGGGCAGACUAGAGUGCGGUAGGGGAGAUUGGAAUUCCCGGUGUAGCGGUGAAAUGCGCAGAUAUCGGGAGGAACACCAAUGGCGAAGGCAGCUCGCUGGGACGGUACUGACGCUGAGACGCGAAAGCGUGGGGAGCAAACAGGG
rnacentral:rRNA from 1 species